rnacentral:rRNA from 1 species
GACGAACGCUGGCGGCGUGCUUAACACAUGCAAGUCGAACGGAAAGGCCCUGCUUUUGUGGGGUGCUCGAGUGGCGAACGGGUGAGUAACACGUGAGUAACCUGCCCUUGACUUUGGGAUAACUUCAGGAAACUGGGGCUAAUACCGGAUAGGAGCUCCUGCUGCAUGGUGGGGGUUGGAAAGUUUCGGCGGUUGGGGAUGGACUCGCGGCUUAUCAGCUUGUUGGUGGGGUAGUGGCUUACCAAGGCUUUGACGGGUAGCCGGCCUGAGAGGGUGACCGGCCACAUUGGGACUGAGAUACGGCCCAGACUCCUACGGGCGGCAGCAGUGGGGAAUAUUGCACAAUGGGCGGAAGCCUGAUGCAGCAACGCCGCGUGCGGGAUGACGUCCUUCGGGUUGUAAACCGCUUUCGCCUGUGCCGAAGCGUGAGUGACGGUAAUGGGUAAAGAAGCACCGGCUAACUACGUG